UACGUAGGGUGCAAGCGUUAAUCGGAAUUACUGGGCGUAAAGCGUGCGCAGGCGGUUUUGUAAGUUUGUCGUGAAAUCCCCGGGCUCAACCUGGGAAUGGCGAUGAAGACUGCAAGGCUAGAAUCUGGCAGAGGGGGGUAGAAUUCCACGUGUAGCAGUGAAAUGCGUAGAGAUGUGGAGGAACACCGAUGGCGAAGGCAGCCCCCUGGGAUCGAAG
rnacentral:rRNA from 1 species